rnacentral:rRNA from 1 species
AUUGAACGCUGGCGGCAUGCCUUACACAUGCAAGUCGAACGGCAGCACGGGUGCUUGCACCUGGUGGCGAGUGGCGAACGGGUGAGUAAUACAUCGGAACAUGUCCUGUAGUGGGGGAUAGCCCGGCGAAAGCCGGAUUAAUACCGCAUACGAUCUACGGAUGAAAGCGGGGGACCUUCGGGCCUCGCGCUAUAGGGUUGGCCGAUAGCUGAUUAGCUAGUUGGUGGGGUAAAGGCCUACCAAGGCGACGAUCAGUAGCUGGUCUGAGAGGACGACCAGCCACACUGGGACUGAGACACGGCCCAGACUCCUACGGGAGGCAGCAGUGGGGAAUUUUGGACAAUGGGCGAAAGCCUGAUCCAGCAAUGCCGCGUGUGUGAGGAAGGCCUUCGGGUUGUAAAGCACUUUUGUCCGGAAAGAAAUCCUUGGCUCUAAUACAGUCGGGGGAUGACGGUACCGGAAGAAUAAGCACCGGCUAACUACGUG